GUGGCUUCGGCCAUCAGUGGCGAACGGGUGCGUAACACGUGAGCAACCUGCCCCUGGGCGGGGGAUAACCCGGGGAAACCCGGGCUAAUACCGCAUGCGCUCUCCGGCUCCGUGGAGCGGGAGAGGAAAGGUGCCGCAAGGCACUGCGCAGGGAGGGGCUCGCGGCCUAUCAGCUGGUUGGUGAGGUAACGGCUCACCAAGGCGACGACGGGUAGGGGGUCUGAGAGGAUGGCCCCCCACAUUGGGACUGAGAUACGGCCCAGACUCCUACGGGAGGCAGCAGUGGGGAAUCUUGCGCAAUGGCCGAGAGGCUGACGCAGCGACGCCGCGUGCGGGAGGACGGUCUUCGGAUUGUAAACCGCUGUCGGGAGGGACGAAUGUCCGCGGGAGGCAAUGCCCGCGGCUUGACGGUACCUCCAGAGGAAGCACCGGCUAACUCCGUGCCAGCAGCCGCGGUAAUACGGAGGGUGCGAGCGUUGUUCGGAAUUAUUGGGCGUAAAGCGCGCGUAGGCGGCUCUUUAAGUCUCACUGUGAAAGACCGGGGCUCAACCCCGCAGUAAGCAGGGGAUACUGGAGGGCUGGAGACAGGGAGAGGCGAGUGGAAUUCCGGGUGUAGCGGUGGAAUGCGUAGAGAUCCGGAAGAACACCAGAGGCGAAGGCGACUCGCUGGCUCUGACCUGACGCUGAGGUGCGAAAGCGUGGGGAGCGAACAGGAUUAGAUACCCUGGUAGUCCACGCCGUAAACGAUGGGCACUAGAUGCCGGCGGGAUCGACCCCGUCGGUGUCGGAGCUAACGCGUUAAGUGCCCCGCCUGGGGAGUACGGCCGCAAGGCUGAAACUCAAAGGAAUUGACGGGGGCCCGCACAAGCGGUGGAGCAUGUGGUUUAAUUCGAAGCAACGCGA
rnacentral:rRNA from 1 species